rnacentral:rRNA from 1 species
AUGCAGCCGUGCACGUACCGGCGAGGGCUGCACUCGUGCAGGUAUGCCAGCCCCCUCGCCGCGCCCUGCACGAUGGACAGCCUCACCGACCACGGCAAUGGCGUUGGCGAAGCCGUCGGGCCACCUGAUUCAAACAUGCUAUUCAGUGCCACUAUCUCUGGAUCAAAUGCAACCUCUAGUCUAGCAGUUAACAAGACAAGAUUUCGGCGGCACAUUACCGUGGAGGGCGGAGUGGAGGGAGCCAUUGCCGAGGUAGUCGUAGAUGAGCAGCUUCUCGUCUGGGGCGUAGUAGUAUGCGCGGAGGCGGGCGACGUUGGGAUGGCGCGCGCGGCCGAUGGCGGCAGCCUCGGCCUCGAAGGCACGGCGCCGGCGCCACCCGGACUCAGUGCCAUCGCCGUCGUCGGGCUCGCUGAGACGGCGGACGGCCACGGCGGUGCCGCGGCCGGGGACGACCCUGUACACGAUGCCGCCGCGGCUCUUCCCCACGACGUAGGCGGACGCCCGGAGCAGCUCCUCCAGCUCCAUCCCGAAACCGUCGUCCACGGCCACGAACAGCUCCCCCUCCUCCCCGCCGCCGCGCCGCUCUUCAGUGCCGGCGAGCGUCACCGCCGCGCUCUUCUCCUUGGUCGACGACUCCUUCUCCUCGUCCCUGGUCGUCGCAGCGCACCGCCUCCGGCACUGCCACUGCAGCACUAG